GGAUGUGAGGGUGAUCUGGCUGCAACAUCUGUCACCCCAUUUAUCGCCAGCGUUGAUUCGGCUGAUCUGGCUGGAUAGGUGAGUGUCCCCUUCCUCCCUCACCACUCCAUGUGAGACCCUCCCUAAGGUGCACUCUCGAUCAAAGAGGACGGCCUUCCUCAAAUAGAGAUGGACUGGUGUUCAGUCCAGGGUACAAAAGUAGCUGAACUCCCCUGCUAGAACCUCCAAAUAAAUCCCUCUUUCCAUUGUUACCAGUCAUUUCUAUCAGGAACAACACAAUAGACCCCUUCGUGGGCCCCCAUAGGACCUUGCCCUUAA
rnacentral:snRNA from 1 species